rnacentral:rRNA from 1 species
CCAAUAGCGUAUAUUAAAGUUGUUGCAGUUAAAAAGCUCGUAGUUGAAUUUCGGGGUUAGUAGGUUGGUCAUGCCUCUGGUAUGUACUGGUCUCACUGAUUCCUCCUUCCUGAUGAACCGUAAUGCCAUUAAUUUGGUGUUGCGGGGAAUUUGGACUGUUACUUUGAAAAAAUUAGAGUGUUUAAAGCAGGCUCGUGCUUGAAUACAUUAGCAUGGAAUAAUGAAAUAGGACGUUUGAUUCUAUUUUGUUGGUUUCUAGGAUCGACGUAAUGAUUAAUAGGGAUAGUUGGGGGCAUUAGUAUUCAAUUGUCAGAGGUGAAAUUCUUGGAUUUAUUGAAGACUAACUACUGCGAAAGCAUUUGCCAAGGAUGUUUUCAUUAAUCAAGAACGAAAGUUAGGGGAUCGAAGACGAUCAGAUACCGUCGUAGUCUUAACCAUAAACUAUGCCGACUAGGGAUCGGGCGGUGUUACUAUUUUGACCCGCUCGGCACCUUACG